AUGGUCGCGGGUGGCGGAGGCACGCGCUGGAGGUGGAAGGCUAUGGCAGAGGAGGGGCGGCGCGGAGCAGUGGCAAGCUGCGGACGGCCGGUUCUCGAGGAGCUCCUCUCCUCGGGCGCUCGGGGGACGGGUGAUCUUGCUCCUCUCUCUCCCUGGGUGGCGGCGCAAGGGAGAAGACGAGGGGAAGAGGGUGAGGGGUUCGAUCGGGAGGUGAGCGUGGGGGAUUGGGCGUUGACGGCGCUGAGGAGCGCGAGGGAGAGAUCGAGAGGAGGGGGUCGGCUCCGGCUAGGGUUAGGAGGGCACAGGCUGGUCCUUGGGCCAAAUGGCUACGGUGAAGCAGGACGGCCUGGCUGGGCUGUUGCACUACUCCUCUCCCUCUCUCUGAAUUUCUCCUUUCAGCAAAUAGAGAGAGGCCAAAUAGAAUUAAGAGAAGAGGCCAUGGAGAAGAACAAAAUGAUGGGACAUUUUUGUAUGGCUUUAUGGAAUAUUUCCACCCCAACAAAAGUGGUUCCAACAAAUUAG
rnacentral:rRNA from 1 species